rnacentral:rRNA from 1 species
UGAGUAACGCGUGGGUGACCUGCCCGGGAGACCGGGAUAACAGUUCGAAAGGGCUGCUAAUACCGGAUGAUAUCUUUUGGCUGCGGCCAAGGGAUCAAAGCGUUUUAGCGCUCUCGGAUGGGCCCGCGUCCCAUUAGCUAGUUGGUGGGGUAAUGGCCUACCAAGGCGACGAUGGGUAGCCGGUCUGAGAGGAUGGUCGGCCACACUGGGACUGAGACACGGCCCAGACUCCUACGGGAGGCAGCAGUGGGGAAUUUUGCGCAAUGGGGGCAACCCUGACGCAGCGACGCCGCGUGGGUGAAGAAGGCCUUCGGGUUGUAAAGCCCUGUUGGGGGGGACGAUAGUGACGGUACCCCCUGAGGAAGCCCCGGCUAACUACGUGCCAGCAGCCGCGGUAAUACGUAGGGGGCGAGCGUUGUCCGGAAUUACUGGGCGUAAAGGGCGUGUAGGCGGCCUUUCAAGUCGGCUGUGAA